AUUGAACGCUGGCGGCAUGCUUUACACAUGCAAGUCGAACGGUAACAGCACUUCGGUGGCUGACGAGUGGCGAACGGGUGAGUAAUACAUCGGAACGUGCCUAGUAGUGGGGGAUAACUACUCGAAAGAGUAGCUAAUACCGCAUGAGAUCUAAGGAUGAAAUCAGGGGACCUUCGGGCCUUGCGCUACUAGAGCGGCUGAUGGCCGAUUAGGUAGUUGGUGGGAUAAAAGCUUACCAAGCCGACGAUCUGUAGCUGGUCUGAGAGGACGACCAGCCACACUGGGACUGAGACACGGCCCAGACGCCUACGGGAGGCAGCAGUGGGGAAUUUUGGACAAUGGGCGCAAGCCUGAUCCAGCAAUGCCGCGUGCAGGAUGAAGGCCUUCGGGUUGUAAACUGCUUUUGUACGGAACGAAAAGCCCUCUUCUAAUACAGGAGGGUCAUGACGGUACCGUAAGAAUAAGCACCGGCUAACUACGUG
rnacentral:rRNA from 1 species